AUUGAACGCUAGCGGGAUGCUUUACACAUGCAAGUCGAACGAGUGGCGGACGGGUGAGUAAUAUCUCGGAACGUGCCCAGUAGCGGGGGAUAACUACUGGAAAGAGUGGCUAAUACCGCAUACUAUUGGAUAUGCCGAUAUCGGAUUAGCUAGUAGGUGGGGUAAAGGCUCACCAAGGCCACGAUCCGUAGCUGGUCUGAGAGGAUGACCAGCCACACUGGGACUGAGACACGGUCCAGACUCCUACGGGAGGCAGCAGUGGGGAAUUUUGGACAAUGGGGGAAACCCUGAUGCAGCCAUCCCGCGUGUAUGAGAAGGCCUUCGGGUUGUAAAGUACUUUUGGCAGGGAAGCGGUAUCCGCAGAAUAAUCACCGGCUAACUACGUGCCAGCAGCCGCGGUAAUUC
rnacentral:rRNA from 1 species